rnacentral:rRNA from 1 species
AUGUGCAUUCACCAUGAUCCAGAUGUGUGGGGAGAAGAUGUCGAUGAAUUUAAGCCGGAGAGGUUUGCGGAGGGCAUUGUUGGCGCAUCCAAGAACUCGCCGGCGUUCUUUCCGUUUGGCUGGGGACCGCGGAUUUGCGUCGGGCAAAACUUUGCAUUGCUAGAGGCCAAGAUGGGAUUGAGCCUGAUCCUGCAACACUUCAUGUUCGAGCUCUCACCGUCCUAUACGCAUGCGCCAUGCCCGGUCUCCACUCUGCAGCCCCAACAUGCUGCGCAGAUUAAACUCAUGAAACUCUAA